GCAUCGGUAGUUCAGUGGUAAAAUACUCGCCUGCCACGCGGGUUCGAUUCCCGGCCGAUACA
rnacentral:tRNA from 1 species